AGUGUAACUCCUCCUCCUUAACCUCUAUUUGGGCUGAUAUGAAUGUGAAAGAGGUGGAUUAUUUACUCUAGUACUUUUACCCAAAUUGCCUUUAAAGGAGAAAGUACAAGUAAAUAUGAUAAGCACAUGUUGUCUAAAAGAAAAGAACUAAUUACACAAAAGGACAGAUGACAGAACUGCAAGCAGAGGAAACAGCAUGAGCUCAAAAGCAUUGCAGCUUUGGAAGUUGUGGUCAGAGCGCAGAUUCAGCCAGAUUCAGAUACAAUGCCCCAGGAGCAGAGAGGGUUGUUCGAGGGCCCAAUAGCGACAGCUCGGCAGUAUAUGGUUCUCGGUCCUCCAUGUUUGUUUGCUGUAGGAUUGCUGAGAAAAGACACCAAGCCUACACAUGCUACUCCUGAGAUUCCAGUGAUCCUCAUCUCUUCUGCUCUCCGGACCUGCCUGAUCCAGCCUCAUGCCCUACUUCUGGUUGGAUUCUUGUCUCUUGAAGGCCGCUCACUGUUGUGACGAUGAUCCCACAUGGACAGCAUAGAGAUCCAUGGGAUUGCUGUGGAUAGUAGCACUUAGAGACCAUGAAGUUGAUAACGUCAACAAAAUAUGCUUCAUGUUAAAACUAGAAUGAUACACAUUGUUACACAGUUAUAUUUUACACAAUUAUAGGAAGGAAAUGAUUUUAUAAUCACACUCUCCAGUGUCACCCAGAUGAGGAUGGCUUCCCUUUUUGAGUCUGGUUCCUCUCAAGGUUUCUUCCUCAUAUCGCCUCAUGGAGUUUUUCCCUCACUACCAUCACCUCUGGCUUGCUCAUUAAAUGUAUUAAAUUUAUAGUCUAAAACUUGUCAUUUCUCUAAAGCUGCUUUGUGACAGUGUCCAUUGUUAAAAGUCUUUUACAAAUUAAUUGAAGUGAAGAACUCAACAAAGCCAGUUCAGAGGUCAAGAACAUUCGAUUUAGAAGUUAUAAUCUUCUCAGCAGCCUCAGAGCAUGUCCAGACUGAUCCACUACAGUCAGGAUAUAACCUGUUGCCCCUAAACAUGUAGAAUUUAAGUUUACAGCCUGAAGCAACCCAAACACUCGUUAUUUACCACAUAACAGUAUGUGCAAACACUCUCUCUCUCAAACACACCACAGUAUAAUAGAAUAAAAGGCCAGAUAAUGAGCAGCCUGUUGAGGUGUGAGCAUGUGUGUAUUCCACAUUCUCUCUCUCUGUCAGCUUUCUGCACCAGGGUGUGUCCUUGUAAUAACAUUAUCACCUCCUGUGGGUGAAUAAUGACCAUGUCUCGCCUCACGGCUCACGGCUCACGGCUCUCGGCUCUCGGCUCUCUUCUCAGCCUGUGAUGGCAAAACACAAUGCAAAUGGCAGCAAGUCGUCAAUGAGCUUGUGUUAAAUCAUGCAAAUGUUUUCCAUUCAACAUCCGGAGAGUUCAGAGCACGGCAGCUCCCAAAGCUUAAGAGAAAGCGUUCACACAAAGGUACACGUGCAUUAGUGAUUUUGUCAGCAGCUAUUAAUAUUGCACUCAAAAGAUGCCAUUUUAUUGUUUCAUAAAGUAGUAAUGAUCAUGUUGGCGGGUUCUUCGGGUUCAGUAUAAAUGUUUUAAAUGGAGAGCAGGAGCACUAGGCGUAGACUGCAGCAGAAUAUUCACAUUUAACUCUCUCUGCUGUUACUGGACUUGUCUCAAGACAUUCAUCAAGCACUCACAUGGAACAAGUUUAAAAAUGUUUACAGGAAACGUUUUUACAUUUUUAAAAUGAACUGCUUUUCAGUUUUUAGUCUGCCUUUCAUUUUAUUUCCCCCUCUUUUUUGUUUGGGUUGUUUGUUUCCUCAUGAUGGAUUAAUCCAUCUGAUAUCCAGAGCGUGUAGUGAAAUGUGUGAGAUUUAUGCCGGUUUCCUGCAGCAGGUUCCAGGUUCAGUGGGAUCAGGUUACACGCAGCAGCCUCUUUACUCAAAUCACAUCUGGUCAGUACAAAACCUGAAAUCAGCUUUGUCUUGUAAAUGAGGGAAACUCUCCGAGACAGUGUGUUCAUCAUUCAAGAACCCAUUCAGAACCCAUUCAGAACCCAUUCUAUCUAUCUAUCUAUCUAUCUAUCUAUCU